rnacentral:sRNA from 1 species
AAAAAAAAGGGGGUUGAUUCAUUGAUAAGAAAAAGUAAAAGACUCUAAGUGAAGUAAGCUAAAGAAGCAGAAAAAGUCUAGUAAAGGUUUUGGGAUUUGUAAAAAAAAGAAAGAGUUCCUGUUAGCUAUUGAAGAUGGGCAAAAGCCCUUGGUUUUAAAAUGUUAAAAACAGGAACCUUAGUUGUUAAAGAAAUCCAAAUCCGCUAGAUGUAUCAAAGUGUUGAGAAAGCUUCUCCUAGAGUUAAGAGAAAAGAAAAGAAUGAUUAGAAAAAGGGCUUAAAAGAUUCAUGAAUGCAAAGGGUAGAGUUUAGUUCUUGUAUUGGGAUUGGAGAUGGGAUUACCAUUAGAGCUUCAUUUGAUAUACUCUGGGUAGAUGGGAUCUUAUCUCUGUAUGCAUAGAUUGGGACUUACCUUUAGCAUUCUACUAAAGCUUAAUCAUUUUUUUUUAGAGAUCCCCUGUUACUUAAGCCUAUUCUGUAAGGGACCAUCUUUGUCUCUUGACCUUUUACCUUAGCCAAAUGAGUUCUUUGAUGAUGCAUUGCUUGAUUCACGUUCCAGAACUAAUCAAUGUUAAAGGAAUUGGUAGAUUUGAAAACUUGGGUAGGUCGAGCGUAUGAGUCGGAUUGAUUGAUUGAUGAGGCAUGGCUAACGUUUUUAAGUAGAAUUCGAUCUUGCAGCUUAGAACUUUCAACUUGGACAUUGAUUUCAUCUCGUCUAUCUGGUGCUUUCGCUCUGAGUCACUGCUUUCAAACCUCACCUCCAGCUUGUUCUUGAUUGUUUGCUUGAGGGCAAGCAAAGACUAAGUUUGGGGGAGUUGAUAAGUGUGUAUUUUGCAUGUUUUGAGCAUCCAUUUGUCAUCACUUUAGCAUCAUAUCAUCACUGUUUUAUACCAUUUCACAUCAUUUGUCAUCACUUUGCAUGUUUAGGAUAGUUUUGCAUGCAUGUUGCAUAUUUGCGUUGAUUUCAGGUGAUUUGGAGCUGUUGACGAGCUAUCUGGAAGAAGCGGACCUGAUCAUGACAAACCACUCGACCCAGAGGUCGAGUAGGAGCUUCAAGAUCUCAAGAGACCACUCGACCACCAGGCGAGUAAAGGACAUCACCACUGCACUUCACCA